GGCGAACGGGUGAGUAACACGUGGGUAAUCUGCCCUGCACUAUGGGAUAAGCCUGGGAAACUGGGUCUAAUACUGGAUAUGACCUUUCUCCUUAUGGGGUUUGGUGGAAAGUUUUCGGUGUAGGAUGAGCCCGCGGCCUAUCAGCUUGUUGGUGGGGUGAUGGCCUACCAAGGCGACGACGGGUAGCCGGCCUGAGAGGGUGAUCGGCCACAUUGGGACUGAGAUACGGCCCAG
rnacentral:rRNA from 1 species